ensembl:rRNA 5S_rRNA 5S ribosomal RNA
GUCUACGACCCAUGCCGCACUGAACAAGCCCGAUCCUGUCUGAUCUCGGAAGCUAAGCAGGAUCAGGCCUGGUUAGUACUUGGAUGGGAGACCACCUAGGAAAACCUGGUGCUAUAAGCA